CCGAGUUUACAACUCCCAAACCCAAUGUGAACAUACCCCAAUGUUGCCUCGGCGGGACCGCCCCGGCGCCCUCACCGGCCCGGAACCAGGCGCCCGCCGCAGGACCCAAACCUCUGUUUUAUGUAUUCUCCUCUGAGUGGAUUUUACAAAUAAAUCA
rnacentral:misc_RNA from 1 species